ensembl:snRNA U4 U4 spliceosomal RNA
AGCUUUGUGUAGUGGCAAUAUCAUAGCCAAUGAGGUUUAUCUGAGGUGCAGUUAUUGCUAAUUAGAAACAUUUCCCAAUUGUUGACUCGGUACUUGUCCACCUGGAUAGAUACUAUUCUUCUAGACUCCUUUUGAG